GUGAAUCAUCGAAUUUUUGAACGCAAAUUGCACUCUCUGGUAUUCCGGGGAGUAUGCCUGUUUGAGGGUCGUUAGAAUAAUAAAUCGAAGCGUUGGUCUUUUUUUUAAGGGUGAUGGAGUCGGAUUUGAGUCGUCUUUUAAAUGUUAAUUCAUGUGAAAGUGGAUUAAAGUUCAUCCAUCCGGUACGAUUAAAGAGUAUUUAAGAUCCACUUUGAUUAUGAACGUGCGAUGAUCGUACCAGCUCAUG
rnacentral:misc_RNA from 1 species